rnacentral:rRNA from 1 species
UACGUAGGGCGCAAGCGUUGUCCGGAAUUAUUGGGCGUAAAGAGCUCGUAGGCGGUUUGUCGCGUCUGCUGUGAAAACCUAAGGCUCAACCUUGGGCUUGCAGUGGGUACGGGCAGACUAGAGUGCGGUAGGGGUGACUGGAAUUCCUGGUGUAGCGGUGGAAUGCGCAGAUAUCAGGAGGAACACCGAUGGCGAAGGCAGAUCUC